rnacentral:lncRNA from 1 species
GUGUCUCACAGACAGAAUCCUGUAAGUCACAAAUGGGAGGCACAUCCGCACUUUUAACGUCUUUAGUAGCCACACUGUAAAAUGUAAAAAGAGCAGAUGGACUUGCUUGUGCUGAUAGAUCUUUGCUAAACUCGAGAGAGCGAAACUAGGAGAAACAGAGAAUUAAUAUAAUCAAACUAUUUUUGAGCUAAUUUACAUAUUAUUAUUACUAUUUUGGGUACGAAGUCUUUUUUUUUUCUUUUUUUUUUGUCUUUUUCUCUUUUCUAGGGCCACUCCUGCGGCAUGUAGAGGUUCCCAGGCUAGGGGUUGAAUCGGAGCUGUAGCCACCUGCCUACGCCACAGCCACAGCAACGGCAGAUCUGAGCCGAAUCUGUGACCUACACCACAGCUCAAGGCAACACCGGAUCCUUAACCCUCUGAGCAGGGCCAGGGAUCGAACCCGCCACCUCAUGGUUCCUAGUCGGAUUCGUUAACCACCGAGCCACGACAGGAACUCCGGUACGAAGUCUUUGAAAUCCAGUAUGUGUUUUGCACUAAUCUCACACCCCCAUUGGAAUUAGCCACAUUUCACAAGCUCCACCUGUCCCCAUGGUCAGUGGUUAGCAGAGUGGGGAAUGCAGCUUUAUUUAAUUUUUUUAUUUUUAUUUUUUAUUAUUUUAUUUUAUUUUUCCUGAUUUUUAUUUAUUUACUUUUUGGUUUUUUUUUAAUUUUUUUAUUACUCAAAGAAUUUAUCACAUCUGUAGUUGUAUAGUGAUCAUCACAAUCCAGUUUCACAGGAUUUCCAUCCCACAACCCGUGCACAUCCCCCCACCCCCGGGAAUGCAGCUUUAGAACGCGGUUCCUCUGGGCAGGGAUCCUGUACUUUUCCUCUCUUUCUUCAGUGCCCAGAGGAGGGUGUCCCAGACAGAGGGCACGGCACAGACAAAGACCCAGGCAUGAAAGAGCAAAGUAUGUUCUGGGGACAGCAAGCCAGUUGGAGUGGCUGCCGUGUGAAGUAACUUAGCUGGGAGCCGUGGGCAGUGGGAUUGCCUCGGGUCUGUGCCACACGGAGACAGGCCUUGAGGACUGUGCUAAGGAAUUUUGGGUCUUGGUCAUGUGGGCAACUCGGGUCAUUGUUUAUUUAUGAGCAGAGGAGUGUCCUAUUCAGGUUACGGAUUUAGACAGAGCCCUCUGGUAGGCAGCACGGAGGAUAAUUUGGAUGGAGCUAAUCAGGAGGCAGAGCAACCAGCUAGGAAGCAGAUGCUGCUACCAUACAGGUGAGUGAUGAGGAGGCAGCGGGGAUGAAGAGGUGGUACAGACUGGAGCGUCAGUAAGAAAUGUCAGGACUGGGGGACCAAUGCACUGGUGGGGAAGGAGUGCAGGAAGGAGUCCCAAGUUCUCGGCUUGGGGCGCCAGUUCUCUGAGCCAGGAUACAUGGGGAGAGGGGGAGGAGGAGCAGCUCUGUGGAGGACAACAAUCCUGGGACAGGCUGGCUUUGAGGUUCUGGCAAGACAUCUUGGUGGACAGGAGCAGUAAGUGGUUAGGGCACACCAUGCUAGGGUUCGUCAGUGGUAGUGAGUUCCUUGUCACAUGAAGCAUUCAAGAAGGGGCUAGACAAACACUCACUUGGGAUGUUGCAGAGGGCUUAUACGCAUCCCAGGUGAGCUGGGCCUAUGACUGCACAGCCUGGAUGGUGUCUGUAUGUGUGUGCAGGAGACACUAUCUGUUGGGGCUUGGGCAUGUCUACAAUUUGAGGACCUUUGGGGUUUAAAGGUGGUUUGCGUUUCUGGACCUGGGCCCAUAACUGGAACUGGGGGCAGGAUCGGGCAUGCUGGCUUCGUGGGGGCAGAGGUUUUAAGCGACCACAGGGGAAGAGAGCCCUGAGGUCCUGUUGAACCCAUUUCUCAGAACCAGGGAGCUAGAAGGAUUCUUGAUCUUCAAUCGGCCUCCCCUCCGCAUCUCAGUUUGAUUGGUAGGAAAACUGAGGGCCUUGCCCAAGGUCACACAGAAGGUCAUGACACAUCAGGCGGGGAGGCCUUUCCAUGCUGGCUCCCCACUUCCUCAGAUCCCAAGUGCCCGCAGCAUCUGCGUCUCCUGGGUCUCCUUGGCACAGGAGAUGUUCUCUAACACGUAUGGUGAGGGAUCCCGGUCCCUUUUAAUUAGGAAGAUACAAAGAGAGAAGUCAGACAGCCGCCCCCACCCACAGUUGGGAGAGUAAGUGUUCCCCAAAUUACACAGCAGAUGCCAGGACUCCAGCAACAAGACCCAGCUUGAUAGCUUUGUGGUAACCUCAGCCAGCACAAUUUUAUUUUUAUGUUUUAACUCCUUGGUGAUAUAUAGACCUCUCACAGGCAGGAGAAAUGGCAUCCAGAACGUCUCCCUUGAAAAAAAAAUUUGUUUUUGAACUUGCGCAACACACACCCAGUUUAAUUAACCCUUCUGUCAGGGUGCUUGGUCUGCCCUGGGCUGGGUGAGAAAAACUGUUUCUCUCCUGGGAGGCGGGGGUAGUGCGAAUUACCUGAGGAGGAGGCAGAUGUAGGUGGUGGGCUAGCCGGGCCAAGGUCUUGCUGUGGGACCCCUGACGGGCCCCUGAUCCUCUUGGGGUCUCUGGGUCCCAAAUGAUAAACCCCCGGACAACCAACCUGACGGGCAAUUAUAUAUGCCUCUUUCGGGGUCUCUAAUUUUUUCUUCUUUCCUUCCUCUCUUUCUCCUGUCUCUUUAGGGCCACACCCACGGCAUAUGGAGGUUCCCAGGCUAGGGGUCCAAUCGGAGCUAUAGCUGUUGGCCUACACCACAGCAACGCCAGAUCCAAGCCGCGUCUGCAACCUACACCACAGCUCACGGCAACACUGGAUCCUUAACCCACUGAGCGAGGCCGGGGAUCGAACCUGCGUCCUCAUGGAUGCUAGUCGGGUUCGUUAACUGCUGAGCCACAAAGGGAUCUCCUAUUUUUUUCUUUUUCUGCUUUAAAAUGUUCGGUCUAAAGGGCCAGUUCUAUGGGAGUCCCUGCCUUUCCUCUCCACACCUUCCAAAUCUCUAUUUCCAUACCGACUUGCUCUUCAGAGCUGGAACCGGACUGUUUUGAAUCAAAGCUCAUUUCUGACCCUUCCCACUCCCUCGUCUGGACGAGCUAAAGGUCUGCGGAGCCCUUCCCAUAUCCUUUCUAACCACACCAGCUCUGCCAGCGGCUCCUGUCUCCUUCCACUCUCUCUAGCGUCUCUCGUUCAGAUGAGUUUUUCGACACCCAGCUCUACUCGGCCACUUCCUGGACCAGAAAACUGGAGGGCGAGCCCCUCCCCCACUGUCUGAGGCCCGAAGCCCCAACGCCUAGGCCUGCAAGGCCUGGGGCCCCAAGAUCUAGGCCCUGGCCACUGUGCAACCAUCCCCCCACCCUGGCUGCCCAUCCCGCCUUGCACACAAACGCCCAAGCGAACCUUGGUAUGUUUUCAGACCAGCAGCUCAGUCGCAAAACACGAAGCAGGCUACUUGAAAUUUGCCUUCAGCUGCCUGGAAAAUCUGCAGAGAACCCCCUUUAAUCCCUCCUUCUUACCCCCAACUUCUGCCUUCCUCUCCCCCCCUUGGAGGGCGCAUGGCCCCUUGAAGUUUUGUUUGCUUGCAGGGAAUAAAAAAACAACAAAAAC